rnacentral:rRNA from 1 species
CCUACGGGUGGCAGCAGUGAGGAAUAUUGGUCAAUGGACGAGAGUCUGAACCAGCCAAGUAGCGUGAAGGAUGACUGCCCUAUGGGUUGUAAACUUCUUUUAUAAAGGAAUAAAACGAGGCACGUGUGCCUUUUUGCAUGUACUUUAUUAAUAAGGAUCGGCUAACUCCGUGCCAGCAGCUGCGGUAAUACGGAGGAUCCGAGCGUUAUCCGGAUUUAUUGGGUUUAAAGGGAGCGUAGAUGGGUUGUUAAGUCAGUUGUGAAAGUUUGCGGCUAAAGCGGAAGAUUGCAAUUGAUACUGGCAGUCUUGAGUACAUUUGAGUUAGGCGGAAUGCGUGGUGUUGCGGUGAAUUGUUUAG